AACGAACGCUGGCGGCAUGCCUAACACAUGCAAGUCGAACGAGACCUUCGGGUCUAGUGGCGCACGGGUGCGUAACGCGUGGGAACCUGCCCUUAGGUUCGGAAUAACUCCCCGAAAGGGGUGCUAAUACCGGAUAAUGUCUUCGGACCAAAGAUUUAUCGCCUUUGGAUGGGCCCGCGUUGGAUUAGCUAGUUGGUAGGGUAAAAGCCUACCAAGGCGACGAUCCAUAGCUGGUCUGAGAGGAUGGUCAGCCACACUGGGACUGAGACACGGCCCAGACUCCUACGGGAGGCAGCAGUGGGGAAUAUUGGACAAUGGGCGAAAGCCUGAUCCAGCAAUGCCGCGUGAGUGAUGAAGGCCUUAGGGUUGUAAAGCUCUUUUGCCCGGGAUGAUAAUGACAGUACCGGGAGAAUAAGCUCCGGCUAACUCCGUG
rnacentral:rRNA from 1 species